rnacentral:snRNA from 1 species
GCUCCCUUCGGCAGCACAUAUACAGAGAAGAUUAGCAUGGCCCCUACACAAGAAUGACAUGCAGAUUUGUCAAGUGUCCCAUAUUUUA